CCCCUAGAUGUUCUGGGCCGCACGCGCGCUACACUGAACAGUUCAACAAGUCUUAACCUUGGCCGAUAGGUCUGGGUAAUCUUUGAACGCUGUUCGUGAUUGGGAUAGACCUUUGCAAUUAUGGGUCUUCAACGAGGAAUUCCUAGUAAACGCAAGUCAUCAGCUUGCAUUGAUUACGUCCCUGCCCCUUGUACACACCGCCCGUCGCACCUACCGAUUGAAUGGUCCGGUGAAAUCUCGGGACGGCGGCUUGGUCGCUUGCGUCCGACUGCUGAAACUUGAUUAAACCAUAUCAUUUAGAGGAAGGUGAAGUCGUANCA
rnacentral:rRNA from 1 species